rnacentral:tRNA from 1 species
UAGAGAGAUAGGAAUUGAAC